GUGCUGGCUUGGCAGCACAUAUGCCAAGAUUGGAACCAUACAGAGAAGAUUAGCAUGGCCCCUGCGCAAGGAUGACAGGCAAAUUCGUGAAGCGUUCCAUAGUUAA